CUGUGACCGAACGUUCUGGCUAAACGGAAGCUGUGGGUUGCCGUGGGGACGUUGGAUGUCUCACCAUCUUAUCCCAAUGGCGGGGUCCGAAGAUCCGGGACGGUUUCUUCUCCAUGGUAUCAGUCCUGCUGAUUGACCUGCAUUCCUGGCCUGAUCACAGAAGGGAGAGCUCAUGAUUCUGCCGCAGACUAAUGUGGAAACUGAGUCUCCGGAAGGUGAAGAGACUCAUGUUGACGGAGGAAAUCUCUGCCCUCAGAUUUGUACCAUGCCCAUGGCCCUCUGGGUGCCAUCUGUCCAGCCCACAGGAAAGUUGAAUCUCUAAAGCCCUACAAAUAGAAAUGGAGCGAGCCGUGGAGGGAGUGAGCGAGAGAGACUCCUCACAUCUAAAGCGGCAGUCAGGUAAGCACAGUAGAAGAAAAGGCAACACUGGACCACAGGAGACCCAGCAAAGGAGCCAGAGCAAUUAGGCAAGAAUUGGAUAGAGCAGGUUUGGCUACUGUCUGGAGGAGGAAAUGAUUACCCUCUCGGAGCUACCAUCUGGCUCUCUGUGCAUUGAGGGCUGAAUGAGCCUCUCUAGACUCGUUCCUAUCCCCGUGGAGAUGGGAUGUAGUCAUUGCUGCCUCUCUGAGCACCACACAGAUAAUGCCCCAUUAUCCACAUGUCAAUGACUUUUUUUUUUCUGAAUUUCAAGUCAACUCCCAUUCGGCUGACUAUUACCAUCAUCGUCAUUGUCGUCAUCGUCGAAAUGAUUUGAUCAUUAUUAUGAAGCAGCACGGGGAAGAGAAUCGAGAUGAAGCAGGUCUGAAAGCCAGAAGGACCUCGAUCCAAGGGCCACCUCUGACUCACACUGGCUGCGUGUGACUCUAGCAAGUCACCUUAACUUCUCGGUCCUCUCAGCAAUUCUUUCAAACUAUAAGUUACAGACAAGAUGCCAGGUUGUUAUUAGCAAGGAGGGAGGGAGGGAGGGAGGACUAAGCAUUUAUAUAGCACCUGCUAGGUGCCAAGCACUUUUACAAAUAAUAUUAUGGUGGAUAUUUAUGACAAUCCUGUACUAUUAAUAUCCCCAUAUUUCAGUUAAGGAAAGUGUUGCCCAAGGUCAUAAAUCUAACUUCAAUGUGCUAUCAGCUGCCAGAGGAAGCUCUAGAGGGAGCCUCUUCAACAAGGGAAUCCUUUACUAUCAUCUUCAUCAUCAUCUUUUUUUGAAGGAGUUCAGGUAGAACAAUCCUGAGAUUAAUUUCUAUCCUGAUCUUAUCCCUUUAUAUUGAAUAUUCUAUCAAUUAUGCGCAGACUGAUAAAAUAACUUUUUCAGUGGAAUGAAAGUGAGCCUACAAACACAUCCUCUGUAGGAUCACUGAAAGCAUCCUUGGUACAUCUCUCUCCUCAUUUUGUAAACCAGACUUGUGAUUCCGGCUAUACAGGGAAAUCGUGAUGAGGAACUUCUACAAGAGGACUUCUCAAGUCUCAGCUAAAAUCCUGUCUUCUCUGAGAAGUCUUCCCCAAACUCCCUUAAUAACAGCGCUUUUCCUCUGCUGGUUAUCUCCAAUUGAUUACAUCUGUAUCCUGUCUGAAUGUUGUUGUUUACCAGCUGCCUCCCCAGUUAGACUGUGAGCUCUUUGAGGACAAAUACUACUUUUACCUUUCUUUAUAUCCCCAGAGCCUUGAACAGUGCCUGGAAAAUAGAAGGCAGUUUACAAAUGUUUAUUGGUUUGUUGACUUCCCAAGGCAGAUCAGCACUUUCUCUGCAAUUUCUAAUGUUAGAGAGUUAUUUUAGGUACUGAGAUUAAAUGACUUGUCCAAGGUCAUAUAAUCACUGUUCAAGAGGGGAAAUGAACCCAGUAUUCCUGGUUCUGAAGCUGGCUCUUACUCCCCCCAAGUCCUUCCACUUAUCUCAGGACAACUUAAGUAGCAGAGAGAACAACAGGCAUGAUUUAUACCUGGUCUUCUUCCCACAUGAUUUUGACUCAAUCUGCCAAGUCUCUACAUUUUUGAAAUACAGAAUGGAAAGCUUUUUGAUCCAUCUAGUUCAGACAUUGAGGUCUAGGCAAGGUGGCUUCUAUUAAAAACAUCGCUCUUAA